GGGGGAGUAGCUCAGUGGUAAAACACAUGCCUAGCAUGCACGAGGCUCUGGGUUCAGUCCCCAGCACCUCCA
rnacentral:tRNA from 1 species